ACGAACGCUGGCGGCGUGCUUAACACAUGCCAGUCGAACGGAAAGGCCCUGCUUUUGUGGGGUGCUCGAGUGGCGAACGGGUGAGUAACACGUGAGUAACCUGCCCUUGACUUUGGGAUAACUUCAGGAAACUGGGGCUAAUACCGGAUAGGAGCUCCUGCUGCAUGGUGGGGGUUGGAAAGUUUCGGCGGUUGGGGAUGGACUCGCGGCUUAUCAGCUUGUUGGUGGGGUAGUGGCUUACCAAGGCUUUGACGGGUAGCCGGCCUGAGAGGGUGACCGGCCACAUUGGGACUGAGAUACGGCCCAGACUCCUACGGGGGGCAGCAGUGGGGAAUAUUGCACAAUGGGCGGAAGCCUGAUGCAGCAACGCCGCGUGCGGGAUGACGGCCUUCGGGUUGUAAACCGCUUUCGCCUGUGACGAAGCGUGAGUGACGGUAAUGGGUAAAGAAGCACCGGCUAACUACGUG
rnacentral:rRNA from 1 species